rnacentral:rRNA from 1 species
UACGUAGGUGGCAAGCGUUGUCCGGAUUUAUUGGGCGUAAAGAGCCCGCAGGCGGCCUGUCAAGUUUCAGGUGAAAUCUCCUGGCUCAACUGGGAGAGGUCCUGGAAAACUGGCAGGCUUGAGGCAGGGAGAGGGAUGUGGAAUUCCCGGUGUAGUGGUGAAAUGCGUAGAUAUCAGGAGGAACACCAGUGGCGAAGGCGGCAUCCUGGCCCUGUCCUGACGCUCAGGGGCGAAAGCGUGGGGAGCAAACCGG